GACGUAGGAUGCAAGCGUUGUCCGGAUUUAUUGGGCGUAAAGAGUUCGUAGGCGGUUCGUUAAGUCUGAUGUUAAAGAUCGGGGCUCAACCCUGGGAGUGCAUUGGAUACUGGCGAACUGGAGUGCGGUAGAGGCUAGUGGAAUUCCCAGUGUAGCGGUGAAAUGCGUAGAUAUUGGGAAGAACACCGAGUGGCGGUAGGCGACUAGCUGGGCCGUAACUGACGCUGAGGAACGAAAGCCAGGGGAGCGAAUGGG
rnacentral:rRNA from 1 species